rnacentral:tRNA from 1 species
GGAGAAGCGGCCGUUGAGGUGUUAAGUUGUAGCCUUAGUUAUGGAGGUAGAUCUCCCUUCUUCA